AGGAAUCUGCCUGGUAGUGGGGGAUAACGUUCGGAAACGGACGCUAAUACCGCAUACGUCCUACGGGAGAAAGCAGGGGACCUUCGGGCCUUGCGCUAUCAGAUGAGCCUAGGUCGGAUUAGCUAGUUGGUGGGGUAAUGGCUCACCAAGGCGACGAUCCGUAACUGGUCUGAGAGGGUGAUCAGUCACACUGGAACUGAGACACGGUCCAGACUCCUACGGGAGGCAGCAGUGGGGAAUAUUGGACAAUGGGCGAAAGCCUGAUCCAGCCAUGCCGCGUGUGUGAAGAAGGUCUUCGGAUUGUAAAGCACUUUAAGUUGGGAGGAAGGGUUGUAGAUUAAUACUCUGCAAUUUUGACGUUACCGACAGAAUAAGCACCGGCUAACUCUGUGCCAGCAGCCGCGGUAAUACAGAGGGUGCAAGCGUUAAUCGGAAUUACUGGGCGUAAAGCGCGCGUAGGUGGUUUGUUAAGUUGGAUGUGAAAUCCCCGGGCUCAACCUGGGAACUGCAUUCAAAACUGACUGACUAGAGUAUGGUAGAGGGUGGUGGAAUUUCCUGUGUAGCGGUGAAAUGCGUAGAUAUA
rnacentral:rRNA from 1 species